AAAAGACAAAUGAGAGGAGGCCGAGGUUCCCAGCAACCCAGCCAAAGAAUAAAUAGCAACUGAUUUUCUCUGUGAAUGUCUACCACACCUCCAUCACAGUCUCAUCCCUCCUCUAAAUCCCUCCUAUUUCAAAAGUACAUGCAUUGGCUGUGGAUUCCACAUUCAGAGGCUGAAGCUUACCAGGGCCAUUAAACUCUACUCUGCAGCACUCUACAUUGAGCAUCAUGAGCAGGAACUUUCUGUCCACCUACGAUGAGCUCCGUAAGGGUGACUUCUUGAUGUCUAACAACCAGCAAUACAAGGCUAUCUUACAGGGAUGUCUUUGUCUGUAGGAAGAUGGCAAGUUCGUCAUCUAUGGCUGGCGUCCAAUCUGGACCUCCAAAAAUGACGGAAAUGAAGAGGGAUGCCGCCUUGUUAUGCAACAAGAUUGCAACUUUGUCAUGUACACAAGU